rnacentral:rRNA from 1 species
CCUACGGGAGGCAGCAGUGGGGAAUCUUGCGCAAUGGGCGAAAGCCUGACGCAGCAACGCCGCGUGAGGGAGGGCGGCCUUCGGGUUGUAAACCUCUUUCGAUACCGACGAAGGCCCUCACGUGUGGGGGUGGACGGUAGGUGUCAAAGAAGCACCGGCUAACUACGUGCCAGCAGCCGCGGUAAUACGUAGGGUGCGAGCGUUGUCCGGAUUUAUUGGGCGUAAAGAGCUCGUAGGCGGUUUGUCGCGUCGGCCGUGAAAACCUGCCGCUUAACGGUGGGCGUGCGGUCGAUACGGGCAGACUUGAGUUCGGUAGGGGAGACUGGAAUUCCUGGUGUAGCGGUGAAAUGCGCAGAUAUCAGGAGGAACACCGGUGGCGAAGGCGGGUCUCUGGGCCGAUACUGACGCUGAGGAGCGAAAGCGUGGGGAGCGAACAGGAUUAGAUACCCUGGUAGUCCACGCCGUAAACGUUGGGCGCUAGGUGUGGGGACUGUUUCCACGGUGUCCGUGCCGUAGCUAACGCAUUAAGCGCCCCGCCUGGGGAGUACGGCCGCAAGGCUAAAACUCAAAUGAAUUGACGGGG